rnacentral:lncRNA from 1 species
AGCUAGCUUCCCUGGGUCUGGACCCCUUCCUUUAUUUUGGGAAGUCCCAUGGCCGAACUUGACUUUCAUGGUAGAAGCUGAAACGACCAGAUGCAUGUUCCUCAACCUGGCUUGCAGUUAGGUCCAGGGUCCAGAGUGCAGCAGCUGCAGGGGAGGUAUUUGACAUAUGCAUACCGUGGCUCAGUGACGAUGCUCUCUUCUUGUUUGGGGACCUUUCCAUGUUCAGUACCUACAAGGAACUGUGAACAUUAUUUCUACACUGGCGUUAAUUAAGAAGACAGGAGAGUAGCAGAAAUGACCUGGGAUAAACAGUGACAUCUAUAGAGGAAGGUAAAAAUAAGUAUGCUUUUUAAUUACCGAAAAAAGCAUUGCAUUGUGUGCAGAAUAUUUUCAACAAAUGUUCUGUUCUCUAACAUGCCAGUUACUCCAUUGUUUCAUUAUCUGAUACUUCUGUGAGGUUACAGGGCAAGAAAAUUUAUAAUAAGGAUCCCCUGAGGCAUUGUGAGAUCACUAAAUCCCUUCUAAGCAAUUGGUUUCUAAUUUUGAAAAGUGAGUGGAAACCUUUAAAAAAUGAAAUCAUACAUGAAACCACCAUAUUAAACAGAAAAAGCAGAUCUGUUUGCUGCCUGUGUGGACUGUAGUGUUGGAGGGGCUGAGCCUGGCUUACGUGGCCUCCCUGUAUUAGCUGUCACCAUGCCUGGAUUUUCUGGCAUGAUUUUAAUGUAGG